rnacentral:rRNA from 1 species
GAUGAACGCUGGCGGUAUGCGUUACACAUGCAAGUCGUACGGAAGUUUUUAACUUAAGUGGCGGACGGGUGAGUAACACGUAAGAAUUUACCUUUAGGAAGGGGAUAACAACUGGAAACGGUUGCUAAAACCCUAUAUGCUUAUUAGUGAAAUGGGUAACCAGCCUAAAGAAAAGCUUGCGGCUGAUUAGCUUGUUGGUGGGGUAAAAGCCUACCAAGGCGACGAUCAGUAUCUGGUUUGAGAGGAUGAUCAGACACACUGGAACUGAGACACGGUCCAGACUCCUACGGGAGGCAGCAGUGGGGAAUUUUCCGCAAUGGGCGAAAGCCUGACGGAGCAAUACCGCGUGAGGGAAGACGGCCUAUGGGUUGUAAACCUCUUUUUUCAGGGAGGAAUCAAUGACGUGUACCUGAAGAAUAAGCAUCGGCUAACUCCGUGCCAGCAGCCGCGGUAAGACGGAGGAUGCGAGUGUUAUCCGGAAUCACUGGGCGUAAAGCGUCUGUAGGUGGUUUAAUAAGUCAACUGUUAAAUCUUGAGGCUCAACCUCAAAAUCGCAGUCGAAACUAUUAGACUAGAGUAUAGUAGGGGUAAAGGGAAUUUCCAGUGGAGCGGUGAAAUGCGUAGAGAUUGGAAAGAACACCAAUGGCGAAGGCACUUUACUGGGCUAUAACUGACACUCAGAAACGAAAGCUAGGGUAGCAAAUGGGAUUAGAUACCCCAGUAGUCCUAGCUGUAAACAAUGGAUACUAGAUGUUGAACAGAUCGACCUGCGCAGUAUUAAAGCUAACGCGUUAAGUAUC